rnacentral:rRNA from 1 species
ACGAACGCUGGCGGCACGCUUAACACAUGCAAGUCGAACGAGAGAAGAGAAGCUUGCUUUUCUGAUCUAGUGGCGGACGGGUGAGUAACACGUGAGCAAUCUGCCUUUCAGAGGGGGAUACCGAUUGGAAACGAUCGUUAAUACCGCAUAACAUAAUUGAACCGCAUGAUUUGAUUAUCAAAGAUUUAUCGCUGAAAGAUGAGCUCGCGUCUGAUUAGCUAGUUGGUAAGGUAACGGCUUACCAAGGCGACGAUCAGUAGCCGGACUGAGAGGUUGAUCGGCCACAUUGGGACUGAGACACGGCCCAGACUCCUACGGGAGGCAGCAGUGGGGAAUAUUGCACAAUGGAGGAAACUCUGAUGCAGCGAUGCCGCGUGAGGGAAGAAGGUUUUAGGAUUGUAAACCUCUGUCUUCAGGGACGAAAAAAGACGGUACCUGAGGAGGAAGCUCCGGCUAACUACGUGCCAGCAGCCGCGGUAAUACGUAGGGAGCGAGCGUUGUCCGGAAUUACUGGGUGUAAAGGGAGCGUAGGCGGGAUCGCAAGUCAGAUGUGAAAACUAUGGGCUUAACCCAUAAACUGCAUUUGAAACUGUGGUUCUUGAGUGAAGUAGAGGUAAGCGGAAUUCCUAGUGUAGCGGUGAAAUGCGUAGAUAUUAGGAGGAACAUCAGUGGCGAAGGCGGCUUACUGGGCUUUAACUGACGCUGAGGCUCGAAAGCGUGGGGAGCAAACAGGAUUAGAUACCCUGGUAGUCCACGCCGUAAACGAUGAUUACUAGGUGUGGGGGGACUGACCCCUUCCGUGCCGCAGCAAACGCAAUAAGUAAUCCACCUGGGGAGUACGACCGCAAGGUUGAAACUCAAAGGAAUUGACGGGGGCCCGCACAAGCAGUGGAGUAUGUGGAUUAAUUCGAAGCAACGCGAAGAACCUUACCAGGUCUUGACAUCGUAUGCAUAGCUCAGAGAUGAGUGAAAUCUCUUCGGAGACAUAUAGACAGGUGGUGCAUGGUUGUCGUCAGCUCGUGUCGUGAGAUGUUGGGUUAAGUCCCGCAACGAGCGCAACCCUUACUGUUAGUUGCUACGCAAGAGCCCUCUAGCAGGACUGCCGUUGACAAAACGGAGGAAGGUGGGGAUGACGUCAAAUCAUCAUGCCCCUUAUGACCUGGGCCUCACACGUACUACAAUGGCUGUCAACAGAGGGAAGCAAAGCCGCGAGGUGGAGCAAACCCCUAAAAGCAGUCUUAGUUCGGAUUGUAGGCUGCAACCCGCCUACAUGAAGUCGGAAUUGCUAGUAAUCGCAGAUCAGCAUGCUGCGGUGAAUACGUUCCCGGGCCUUGUACACACCGCCCGUCACGCCAUGGGAGUCGGUAACACCCGAAGCCUGUAGUCUAACCGCAAGGAGGACGCAGUCGAAGGUGGGAUUGAUGACUGGGGUG